ACGAACGCUGGCGGUGUGCCUAACACAUGCAAGUCGAACGGUAAGGCCCUUUCGGGGGUACACGAGUGGCGAACGGGUGAGUAACACGUGAGUAACCUGCCCUCAUCUCUGGGAUAACAGUCGGAAACGGUUGCUAAUACUGGAUAUGAGCCUGCAAGGCAUCUUGUGGGUUGGAAAGAUUUUUUGGUUGGGGAUGGACUCGCGGCCUAUCAGCUUGUUGGUGAGGUAGUGGCUCACCAAGGCUUCGACGGGUAGCCGGCCUGAGAGGGCGACCGGCCACAUUGGGACUGAGAUACGGCCCAAACUCCUACGGGAGGCAGCAGUGGGGAAUAUUGCACAAUGGACGGAAGUCUGAUGCAGCAACGCCGCGUGCGGGAUGACGGCCUUCGGGUUGUAAACCGCUUUCAAUUGUGACGAAGCUUUUUGUGACGGUAGCAGUAGAAGAAGCACCGGCUAACUACGUG
rnacentral:rRNA from 1 species